ACUUCCUACUACUGGCUCCUUCGUUUAUUUUCUGCCUCCCUUAUUGCUGCUCUUCAGUCCCUUCUUAGUGUUUGCACAAUCUAAAUUCCGGGAAUAAUGUUGUUUUCUGCGCAAAUCUGGUAAUUCUAAAGUUUUCUCUCCCUUAAUAUAUUUUCUUUCGGAGCUUCUGCAGAGUUACCUGAAUGUUUUCUGAUAAUAAACCAUUUCAGUUGAACGAAUGUGGUGUAAAAUCGUGUGAUGGACGGUUAAACGUUUUACUUUUUUCUGUGUUUUAGAAAAUAAUAUGUUUCUUAUACGGUGUAUGAUUCUACUUCGGUAUGAUAUUAGGGGUUAGGGCAUAUGGCUCCAUAAUCGAGUCAACAGCAGGCGCCAGUUAAUGGCGGCCUAUCUGCCGCUUGGAGCCGAAAUCGAUUCACUGGAGGAAGACUCUCGAAACUCACUGUUGUUUCCGGAUUCAAUACUCCAAUUACAUUUCAACUUCUUCUUGAAAAAAAAAAAACGUUUUCUUGUCACAUUUCAACUAGAUCAUCUUGGUUGCCUAAUGUUAACCAGAAAAUGAUCAUCAAACCUUCCAGGUUUCUUCUCCUUUAAGAAUUCAAGUAAUUAGGCGGCUUGAAUUAAUUCAUUGCGCCUUUAAAAAUUUUCUCUUGUUUUGCCUUUGUAAUAUAGCUUGUAGGCACUCAGUCAGACACGGGUGUUUGUUGAUAAAAUAUAUAACAAGCUACCUUUUGCACAGUGCCUAGAAAGAGCUACUUACACGAUUGGAGAAAUUCACUAACGAAUGGUUUUCUUCAAAUUCAAAGCAGCUAAAUGUUAAUCUAUAGAUCCUCCAUAUUUAUAAUAUUUAGAUUGUCUAAUCUUGUUUCUUCAAAGAUUGCAUCAUAAUCUUUGCUUGAGAGAGUCACUCAUUGGUUUGUAUAGAGAGUCACGCAUUGAAGGAGAAGAGAGUGAAAGAAACAAGCUAAGUGAUGGCUUCAUAUUUGAGUCAACAGCUGGUGUCGCCUCCAUGGCACCUUGUCUGCCGCUUGGAGCCCACAGAAACUCUACCUGAUAUUUGAUUAGCGAUGAUGUGGGUGCCAUUAAUUUUCAAAGAUUUUUGCUUGGGUUCCCUUUGACUAGUAUGUAUUUGAAGCCAUAAUUCUGAUAGUUCAAAUUACCUCCAUGGAUGAUAUGGUUAAAGGAGAAGAAUUCUGCAACCCAAUUCACUAGAUUAAUGUGCAAGGAUGUUGAGGUAUAUAGAGUUGUUGGAAUAUAAUUUGCAGCUAAUGAUUAUAUUGGUGUAAGAUUGAUGUACAUGAAUAUAUUUUUAAUGGAUUUCAAAAGAACAAAGAUAAAGAGCCUAUAUGACCCGAGAAA